GGCGACAUAGCCAAGUGGUAAGGCAGAAGUCUGCAAAACUUCUAUUCCCCAGUUCAAAUCUGGGUGUCGCCUCCA
rnacentral:tRNA from 1 species